rnacentral:rRNA from 1 species
CAUAUGGAUUCCUACGGGAGGCAGCAGUGGGGAAUAUUGCACAAUGGGCGCAAGCCUGAUGCAGCAACGCCGCGUGAGGGACGAAGGCCUUCGGGUUGUAAACCUCUUUUAGUAGGGAAGAAGCGACUGGGUUUUCCUGGGAGUGACGGUACCUGCAGAAAAAGCACCGGCUAACUACGUGCCAGCAGCCGCGGUAAUACGUAGGGUGCAAGCGUUGUCCGGAAUUAUUGGGCGUAAAGAGCUCGUAGGCGGUUUGUCGCGUCUGCUGUGAAAACCCGAGGCUCAACCUCGGGCCUGCAGUGGGUACGGGCAGACUAGAGUGCGGUAGGGGAGAUUGGAAUUCCUGGUGUAGCGGUGGAAUGCGCAGAUAUCAGGAGGAACACCAAUGGCAAAGGCAGAUCUCUGGGCCGUAACUGACGCUGAGGAGCGAAAGCAUGGGGAGCGAACAGGAUUAGAUACCCUGGUAGUCCAUGCCGUAAACGUUGGGAACUAGAUGUGGGGACCAUUCCACGGUCUCCGUGUCGCAGCUAACGCAUUAAGUUCCCCGCCUGGGGAGUACGGCCGCAAGGCUAAAACUCAAAGGAAUUGACGGGGGCCCGCACAAGCGGCGGAGCAUGCGGAUUAAUUCGAUGCAACGCGAAGAACCUUACCAAGGCUUGACAUAUACCGGAAACGGCUGGAAACAGUCGCCCCGCAAGGUCGGUAUACAGGUGGUGCAUGGUUGUCGUCAGCUCGUGUCGUGAGAUGUUGGGUUAAGUCCUUCA